UGCAAGUGUUCGGUUGCUGACUGCAGAU
rnacentral:piRNA from 1 species